GCCUUUGUAGCUCAGUUGGUAGAGCAUCCGCCUUGUAAGCGGACGGUCGUCAGUUCAAAUCUGACCGAAGGCU
rnacentral:tRNA from 1 species